UCUAGUAAGAGUGAGUCAAAUGUUAGUGAGUUAGAUAAUCAUGUAAUAGAUAAACUUCAAGUCUCUGUCGUUUGUUUACCUUUCGCAAAAUAUGUCCUCAUUUUUUUCCAGAGUGGGAUGUCACUGUUGAAGAUGAUACCUCUCCCGUCCAUCCCGAUACACUGCAGUCCUCGUUUACUGGCGAACCGGGCUGUGUAGUGGGCACUCUUCAGGACAUGGUAGACAGCAGAGGACCUGCAGCAAGAGUGAGAGACCAAGAGUGUCAUAAAUAGAGAGUCUCAAACAAGUAGUGCUGAUCUUGGAUAAGUUUUUACUUUUUCAAUGAUAAUGAACGGACAUGGGAGGUAGAGGAUCUUAGAUCUACUCUGAGACGCUUGAUGAAUAUCACCCCCUACCCCCACCGAACUGAAUGAGUGGAGUAUUUUCCAAUUCCAUUUCAACAGAACUUACUUGCUAAGAAUGAGAGUCUCUUCUCCGUUGAUCCAGACCCGAACCAUACUCCCAUAUCUCUUGUUGUAGUAGUUACAGGCUGUUCCUAUCCCGCUCCAGAUGAACCGAGAGUAGGACAGGAUUGGACCCAGACCAGCCCAGAAGAAAGGACCUGCCAUAGAGGCACGUACAGUAGAGACGCAGAUGGCAGCAGGGUGAACAGUCCGUGGCUCGGGUGGGUUCUUGAUGAAUCUUCUUGGCCUUCCUGUGACAUCGGGUGCUAAAGAUGUCCUGGAGGGCAGGCAGUGUGCCCCCCCUGGUGAUGCGUUGGGCUGACCGCACCACCCUCUGGAGAGCCCUGCGUUUGCGGACGGUUCAAUCGCCAUACCAGGCAGGAAAUUUUAAGCCUCUUGAAGUUGAACAGAUCAAGUUCCUGUUGGAUCUACAGUACAGUGCUUUGCGAAAGUAUUCGGCCCCCUUGAACUUUGCGACCUUUUGCAACAUUUCAGGCUUCAAACAUAAAUAUAUAAAACUGUAUUUUUUUGUGAAGAAUCAACAACAAGUGGGACACAAUCAUGAAG